AAGUUUUAUUCUUGCUUAUAAUUUUAUUUAUUUUAACAUUAAUUUAUAUGUAAAUUUUUGUAUUUUAAAUUUUCUUAAGGAUUUUUGAAAUUUUAAUUGCAGUGAAUUAUUUUAUUUAUAUUAAAUAAGUUUAGAUUUGGUAAAUGUUAUUUAGGUUUGGUAAAAUCUGUGCCAGCAUCCGCGGUUAUACAGUAAGUUCAAAUAAAUAUUUUUGGUUUUGAAAUAAUAAUUAUUAUUAAUGUAAUUAAUUAAUAUAUUUUAAGGUGAAAUAAUAUAUAAUAUUUUAAUUUAUUAUUAUAAAAGUGAGAAAUAUUAUGAAAUUGAAAACAUAAACUAGGAUUAGAUACCCUAUUAUUUUUAAUGUAAAAAGUGAACUGGAGUAUUAAUAGAUAUAAUCUUGAAACUUAAAGAAUUUGGCGGUAUUAUAAUCUAUUUAGAGGAAUCUGUUAUGUAAUUGAUAAUCCACAUUGAACCUUACUUAUAUAAUUUCUUAUAUAUCGCUGUUUGUGAAUAUAUUUUUAGAUAUAAUUUUCUGGAUAAAAUAUUAAUUAGAAUUUCAAGUCAAGGUGUAGUUAUAUAUAAGUUAAUUAAUGGAUUACAAUAAAGUAAAUUUAUUACGAAUUAUUAUUGAAAUAUAAAUUUGAAGGUGGAUUUAACUGUAAUUUUUUACAGAUUAUAAAAAUGAUAAUAGUUCUAUAAUAUGUACACAUCGCCCGUCACUCUCAUUAUUAAGAUGAGAUAAGUCGUAACAAAGUAGAUGUAUCGGAAGAUGUAUCUAGAAUAAUA
rnacentral:ncRNA from 1 species